rnacentral:tRNA from 1 species
CGGCUGCUGCGGCCAGGCUGGGUUUGCCGAUCAGCGCCAUGUCGAGGUCGGCCUGCGCGAUCCAGAAGUCGCGCAGC